rnacentral:misc_RNA from 1 species
ACGAGAUGGAACUCUUUCCAGUUUGAAACUAAAGUUAGUUUAUUUAUUUUUGUUUGUAAAUUUAUCUUUUGCCUAACUUCAGACCAAACAUAAUCUUAAAUGACCUUGUUCAAUUUUUGUUGUUUUGUAAAUGAUAUAAGCAACUAUGAACAUAGUCUUGAAUGAUCUUGGUCAGAUUUUGUUGUAAAAUUCAUUUUUUUGUGAUAUGAGUGCAUCUAAUUUCUGAACAUUUGGCCGUUUGAUAGGUAUUAAUCAAAGAAAACAUGCAACAUACAAGCAGUCAAAAGGUUGGAAAGACAACUCACCUCAGUGUUAUAUUGUGCAUAAAACUGAGCCACCAUGUUAAAAUGGCCAGAAAAAAUGA